rnacentral:rRNA from 1 species
CUCCAGGCCACGGCAGCAUCCCCGGAUAGCCUCAGACGAGGCCUAAACUUCAUUAUCGCUCUCACCACUUGGGCUAUCUGGAAACAUCGAAAUGCGGCCAUUGUCAACGGUGCCGGACCCUCCACAGAUGACCUUGGGCAGCUAAUCAAGGACGACGCGCGUCGGUGGGCCAAGGACGACGAUCGAGGAUUACAUAGAAUCAUCCCUGUAACCUGA